rnacentral:misc_RNA from 1 species
CCGCAGGGGGACGGUUACCACGGAGUGAUUCAUGACUGGGGUGAAGUCGUAACAAGGUAGCCGUAGGGGAACCUGCGGCUGGAUCACCUCCUUAAUCGAAGAUCUCAGCUUCUUCAUAAGCUCCCACACGAAUUGCUUGAUUCACUGGUUAGACGAUUGGGUCUGUAGCUCAGUUGGUUAGAGCGCACCCCUGAUAAGGGUGAGGUCGGCAGUUCGAAUCUGCCCAGACCCACCAAUUGUUGGUGUGCUGCGUGAUCCGAUACGGGGCCAUAGCUCAGCUGGGAGAGCGCCUGCUUUGCACGCAGGAGGUCAGGAGUUCGAUCCUCCUUGGCUCCACCAUCCAAACAAUCGUCGAAAGCUCAGAAAUGAAUGUUCGUAGAUGAACAUUGAUUUCUGGUCUUUGCACCAGAACUGUUCUUUAAAAAUUCGGGUAUGUGAUAGAAGUAAGACUGAAUGAUCUCUUUCACUGGUGAUCAUUCAAGUCAAGGUAAAAUUUGCGAGUUCAAGCGCGAAUUUUCGGCGAAUGUCGUCUUCACAGUAUAACCAGAUUGCUUGGGGUUAUAUGGUCAAGUAGAGCCACA